AUGCACCACCCUCUGUGUCGAAACGUUGUCCCUUAGGUCCUUUUUAAAUCUUUCCCAUCACACCUUAAACCUUGUGCUGUCUAGAUUUGGGCUCCCUUACCCUGGGGAAAGGACCUUUUUGGAUAUUCACCCUACCAAUGCCCCUCAUUUUAUAAACUUCUAAGAUCAUCCCUUAGCAUCUGGCAAGCAAGGAAAAAUAGCCUCAGCCUCUUCAGUGUCUCCCUAUAGUUGAAACUCUCCAACCCUGGCAACAUCGUUGUAAAUCUUUCCUCAACCCUUUCAAGUUUCACCACAUCUUUUCUAUUGCAGGGAGACCAGAAUUGAACACACUAUUCCAAAAUUGGCCAAAACAAUUUCCUGUGCAGUCACAAAAUGACCUCCCAAUUCUUAUACUCAACGCAUUGACCAAUGAAGGCAAGCAUACCAAAUGCUUUCUUCUGUAUCCUGCCGACCUGUGACUUCACUGUGAACCUGCACUCCAAGACUUCAGCCAAGAUCUCCAUUGACAAGACGACUAAAAAACGGCCCUUUUCUCGAUUUUUGGCUCAGGAUGGCUGCAACUACACAAUCUGGACACUCAAGCCUGCUCCAUCAUUUAAUAAGAUCUUUAUUGAUCUGCUUGUGUUUUCAAUUCCACAUUCGUAACAAAUCCUGAUAAUCCUAUAUUUCCCCUGCCCAUCAAGAAUCUAUUUACUUCUAUCUUAAAAAAUAUUCAAGACUCUGCCACCAUUGCUUUCUCGACAAAAGUGUUACAAAAUUGUACAACCCUCAGAAAAUUUCUCAUCCUCUUCUGUCUUGAAAGGAUGACCUGUGUUUUUGGAUGAGCCCACAAGAGCAUAUAUCAUUUCCACUUCUAAUUUAUCAAAACCUUUUGAGGAUCUUCAAUCUGGUCAUCCUCACUCCAGUGGAAACAAGCAGAGUCUAUUUGACCUGUCCUUUUAAGACAACCUGCUCCUUCCAGGUGUCAAUCUAAUAAACCUCCACUGAACUGCCUCAAAUGUGUUUACAUCCAUACUUGAGUAAGGACACCAAAAGUGCACACUGUAUUCAUGAUUGAUCUCACCUGUACCCUUUUGAAGAGAAGAUUAAUAUUGCUUACUUUUAUAUUUGGUUCCUCUUGUAAUAAAGAAAAGCAUUUCAUUAGCUGCCUGCAUACUAACCUUUUGUGAAUCCUAAAUCCAUCUGCACCUCUGAAUUAUGUUUGUUCACUGUUAAGAAAUGCUCUGAUCACUUUGGCUAGAACAAUAAAAAGCAAUUUCAUAUUUCCCA